GCAAAAUGGUACCGUAACUUCGGGAGAAGGUACGCCGGUUUUGGUGAUGGGACUUGCUCCCUAAGCUGAGGCUGGCCGAAGUGACCAGGUGGCUGCGACUGUUUAUCAAAAACAUAGCACUCUGCAAACACGAAAGUGGACGUAUAGGGUGUGACGCCUGCCCGGUGCCGGAAGGUUAAUUGAUGGGGUUAGCUAACGCGAA
rnacentral:rRNA from 1 species